rnacentral:rRNA from 1 species
GCGCAAGCCUGAUCCAGCCAUGCCGCGUGAGUGAAGAAGGCCCUCGGGUUGUAAAGCUCUUUUGUCCGGAAAGAAAAGCAUCGGGUUAAUACCCCGGUGUUCUGACGGUACUGGAAGAAUAAGCACCGGCUAACUUCGUGCCAGCAGCCGCGGUAAUACGAAGGCUGCAAGCGUUACUCGGAAUUACUGGGCGUAAAACGUGCGUAGGUGGUUCGCUAAGUCUGAUGUGAAAGCCCUGGGCUCAAC